AGUGAACGCUGGCGGUAGGCCUAACACAUGCAAGUCGAACGGCAGCACAGUAAGAGCUUGCUCUUACGGGUGGCGAGUGGCGGACGGGUGAGGAAUACAUCGGAAUCUACUUUUUCGUGGGGGAUAACGUAGGGAAACUUACGCUAAUACCGCAUACGACCUACGGGUGAAAGCAGGGGAUCUUCGGACCUUGCGCGAUUGAAUGAGCCGAUGUCGGAUUAGCUAGUUGGCGGGGUAAAGGCCCACCAAGGCGACGAUCCGUAGCUGGUCUGAGAGGAGGAUCAGCCACACUGGAACUGAGACACGGUCCAGACGCCUACGGGAGGCAGCAGUGGGGAAUAUUGGACAAUGGGCGCGAGCCUGAUCCAGCCAUACCGCGUGGGUGAAGAAGGCCUUCGGGUUGUAAAGCCCUUUUGUUGGGAAAGAAAAGCAGCAGGUUAAUACCCCGCUGUUCUGACGGUACCCAAAGAAUAAGCACCGGCUAACUUCGUG
rnacentral:rRNA from 1 species